GUGUGGCCUCCUGUUACGUAUACUGAAGGUAUACCGGACAGAAGACACUCAGGAUACAUUCAGUAUACGUACAGGGGGUCGUCA
rnacentral:pre_miRNA from 12 species